AUGUUUCAUUCAAAUUUCUGCCCUAUCAACUUUCGACGGUAGGGUAGUGGCCUACCGUGGUGGUAACGGGUGACGGAGGAUUAGGGUUCGAUUCCGGAGAGGGAGCCUGAGAAACGGCUACCACAUCCAAGGAAGGCAGCAGGCGCGCAAAUUACCCAAAUCCCAACUCGGGGAGGUAGUGACAAGAAAUAACGAUGCUCCGGCCAUCGGUCGGGUAAUCGGAAUGAGGACAAUUUAAAUCCCUUAUCGAGGAUCAAUUGGAGGGCAAGUCUGGUGCCAGCAGCCGCGGUAAUUCCAGCUCCAAUAGCGUAUAUUUAAGUUGCUGCGGUUAAAAAGCUCGUAGUCGGAUUUCGGGUGGUGCCUACCGGUCCGCCCUUGGUGUGUACUGGUAGGCGCCACCUUUCUGCCGAGGACGGGUUCCUGGGCUUAGCUGUCUGGGGCCCGGAGUCGGCGAUGUCACUUUGAGUAAAUUAGGGUGUUUAAAGCAGGCUUAUGCUCUGUAUACACUAGCAUGGGAUGACACGAUAGGACUUCGGUCUAUCUUGUCGGUCUGUAGAUCGGAGUAAUGAUUAAGAGGGACAGUCGGGGGCAUUCGUAUUUCGUAGUCAGAGGUGAAAUUCUUGGAUUUACGGAAGACGAACUUCUGCGAAAGCAUUUGCCAAGGAUGUUUUCAUUGAUCAAGAACGAAAGUCGGGGGCUCGAAGACAAUUAGAUACCGUCGUAGUCUCGACCAUAAACGAUGCC
rnacentral:rRNA from 1 species